UCUCCGUUGGUGAACCAGCGGAGGGAUCAUUACCGUGUUUACAACUCCCAAACCCAAUGUGAACGUUACCAAACUGUUGCCUCGGCGGGGUCACGCCCCGGGUGCGUCGCAGCCCCGGAACCAGGCGCCCGCCGGAGGAACCAACCAAACUCUUUCUGUAGUCCCCUCGCGGACGUUAUUUCUUACAGCUCUGAGCAAAAAUUCAAAAUGAAUCAAAACUUUCAACAACGGAUCUCUUGGUUCUG
rnacentral:misc_RNA from 1 species